rnacentral:lncRNA from 1 species
GCUUGAACCCAGGAGGCAGAGGUUACAGUGAGACGAGAUCACACCACUGCACUCCAGCCUGGACGCCAGAGCAAGACUCCGUCUCAAAAAUAAAUAAGUAAAUAAAAUAAAUGAUUGUGGUUCACAACACAUUCCAUUUAAUUUAGAAAAAAAUAAUGGAUUAUGGCUUAAAAAAAAAACAGAGUCUUGUUCUGUUGCUCAGGCUGGAGUGCAGUAGUAUAAUCAUAGCUCACCACAGCCUUGAACUUCUGGGCUCAAGCAAUC